rnacentral:rRNA from 1 species
CACGUAGGGCGCGAGCGUUGUCCGGAAUUAUUGGGCGUAAAGAGCUCGUAGGCGGGCUGUUGCGUCCGCUGUGAAAGCCCGGGGCUUAACCCCGGGUCGGCAGUGGAUACGGGCAGGCUAGAGGUAGGUAGGGGAGAAUGGAAUUCCCGGUGUAGCGGUGAAAUGCGCAGAUAUCGGGAGGAACACCGGUGGCGAAGGCGGUUCUCUGGGCCUUACCUGACGCUGAGGAGCGAAAGCGUGGGGAGCGAACAGG